rnacentral:lncRNA from 1 species
AGCCCCUAGCGCAGACGGCGGAGAGCAGAGAGGGAGCGCGCCUUGGCUCGCUGGCCUUGGCGGCGGCUCCUCAGGAGAGCUGGGGCGCCCACGAGAGGAUCCCUCACCCGGGUCUCUCCUCAGGGAUGACAUCAUCCGUCCACCUCCUUGUCUUCAAGGACCACCUCCUCUCCAUGCUGAGCUGCUGCCAAGGGGCCUGCUGCCCAUCUACACCUCACGAGGGCACUAGGAGCACGGUUUCCUGGAUCCCACCAACAUACAAAGCAGCCACUCACUGACCCCCAGGACCAGGAUGGCAAAGGAUGAAGAGGACCGGAACUGACCAGCCAGCUGUCCCUCUUACCUAAAGACUUAAACCAAUGCCCUAGUGAGGGGGCAUUGGGCAUUAAGCCCUGACCUUUGCUAUGCUCAUACUUUGACUCUAUGAGUACUUUCCUAUAAGUCUUUGCUUGUGUUCACCUGCUAGCAAACUGGAGUGUUUCCCUCCCCAAGGGGGUGUCAGUCUUUGUCGACUGACUCUGUCAUCACCCUUAUGAUGUCCUGAAUGGAAGGAUCCCUUUGGGAAAUUCUCAGGAGGGGGACCUGGGCCAAGGGCUUGGCCAGCAUCCUGCUGGCAACUCCAAGGCCCUGGGUGGGCUUCUGGAAUGAGCAUGCUACUGAAUCACCAAAGGCACGCCCGACCUCUCUGAAGAUCUUCCUAUCCUUUUCUGGGGGAAUGGGGUCGAUGAGAGCAACCUCCUAGGGUUGUUGUGAGAAUUAAAUGAGAUAAAAGAGGCCUCAGGCAGGAUCUGGCAUAGAGGAGGUGAUCAGCAAAUGUUUGUUGAAAAGGUUUGACAGGUCAGUCCCUUCCCACCCCUCUUGCUUGUCUUACUUGUCUUAUUUAUUCUCCAACAGCACUCCAGGCAGCCCUUGUCCACGGGCUCUCCUUGCAUCAGCAGGUUCCCAGUGCCCCCGACAAGCCCCUGCUGGUGUCUCCAUCUCCUGCCAAGCAUCCUCCAGUGCCUCCUCCUGUGGGCCUGGCCUCAGGGCUAUGGACAGACUCCUGUCCCAUCCCAGAGACCCCUCGUGAUCGUGCCCUGGCACGUGGGCCGUGGCCCGGCUGGGUCGGCUGAAGAACUGCGGAUGGAAGCUGCGGAAGAGGCCCUGAUGGGGCCCACCAUCCCGGACCCAAGUCUUCUUCCUGGCGGGCCUCUCGUCUCCUUCCUGGUUUGGGCGGAAGCCAUCACCUGGAUGCCUACGUGGGAAGGGACCUCGAAUGUGGGACCCCAGCCCCUCUCCAGCUCGAAAUCCCUCCACAGCCACGGGGACACCCUGCACCUAUUCCCACGGGACAGGCUGGACCCAGAGACUCUGGACCCGGGGCCUCCCCUUGAGUAGAGACCCGCCCUCUGACUGAUGGACGCCGCUGACCUGGGGUCAGACCCGUGGGCUGGACCCCUGCCCACCCCGCAGGAACCCUGAGGCCUAGGGGAGCUGUUGAGCCUUCAGUGUCUGCAUGUGGGAAGUGGGCUCCUUCACCUACCUCACAGGGCUGUUGUGAGGGGCGCUGUGAUGCGGUUCCAAAGCACAGGGCUUGGCGCACCCCACUGUGCUCUCAAUAAAUGUGUUUCCUGUCUUAACAA